rnacentral:rRNA from 1 species
UACGAAGGGGGCUAGCGUUGCUCGGAAUUACUGGGCGUAAAGGGAGCGUAGGCGGAUAGUUCAGUCAGAGGUGAAAGCCCAGGGCUCAACCUUGGAACUGCCUUUGAUACUGGCUAUCUUGAGUUUGGGAGAGGUGUGUGGAACUCCGAGUGUAGAGGUGAAAUUCGUAGAUAUUCGGAAGGACACCAGUGGCGAAGGCGACACACUGGCCCAAUACUGACGCUGAGGCUCGAAAGCGCGGGGAGCAAACAGGAUUAGAAACCCGAGUAGU